UUUCACUUCAUUGCAAACAAAUUAGGUGUGAAAACAAUAAGCCAUAUCACUAACUUCUGCAGAUACAUAAAGGAGUACAAAUUAGUUAAUCAUAACUAUUUCUACAAUGACAUUGCAUCUUCAUACACAGUGCCACGUUUUCAAAGCUAUCCUAAAGCCAGAUAAACUACCGUUACUGCUAAUACUAUAGUCAACAGACUAGAAGGAGAUCCACCAAUUGCUAAGCAAGUUGAGACCAAAAUGAUUGUUCCCCAUAUGAACAUCCUCAACCUCCAGACUGAACCUUGAAGCUUUGUUAUACAAAGUCUGAACUCUGCAUUCUGCCUAUUUUUCUCAUCAAUAUCUUGUUCAAUCUUCAUCCUCAGGCAACAAAUUAACUUAUCUUGUUCAGCAACCUUUCUGUUUGCAUCCUCCAGCAUCUCCUUAAGUGGGGCUCCACAAUAAUCCACCAUAUGCUCAACGUACUCCAUCAAUAGAUCUCUCCAGAUCCAAAUGCUGCAUCUUCCUGGCUGCUCAUAAUUUAUUGUGGCUAUGGAUAUUAUAUUUGUCCUAGCAUGAAAAAAUUAGUAAAGAAGAACAAUGAACUUACAGUGCUUCCACAUGAAAGGUAUUCUCGCUCUGGAUUGUGUGGGGUACGAGACAUCAUCUUCCUCGCCUCAACCUUGCAUGCACACCUCAGCUCUGGUGGAUCCAAGCUAGUACCAUUGCUAACUGACCUGUAC
rnacentral:lncRNA from 1 species